GAUGAACGCUGGCGGCGUGCCUAAUACAUGCAAGUCGAGCGAGCGGCGGACGGGUGAGUAAUGUCUGGGCAACUGCCUGAUGGAGGGGGAUAACUACUGGAAACGGUAGCUAAUACCGCAUACCAUCAGAUGUGCCCAGAUGGGAUUAGCUAGUAGGUGGGGUAAUGGCUCACCUAGGCGACGAUCCCUAGCUGGUCUGAGAGGAUGACCGGCCACACUGGAACUGAGACACGGUCCAGACUCCUACGGGAGGCAGCAGUGGGGAAUAUUGCACAAUGGGCGCAAGCCUGAUGCAGCCAUGCCGCGUGUGUGAAGAAGGCCUUCGGGUUGUAAAGCACUUUCAGCGAGGAGGCGUUACUCGAAGAAGAAGCACCGGCUAACUACGUGCCAGCAGCCGCGGUAAUUC
rnacentral:rRNA from 1 species